UGUUCCCGCACAGGAUCGAACCGGGGACCCUGUGCGUGUGAAGCACACGUGAUAACCGCUACAUCACACAAAC
rnacentral:tRNA from 1 species